rnacentral:rRNA from 1 species
UACGAAGGGGGCUAGCGUUGUUCGGAAUUACUGGGCGUAAAGCGCACGUAGGCGGACUUUUAAGUCAGGGGUGAAAUCCCGGGGCUCAACCUCGGAACUGCCUUUGAUACUGGAAGUCUUGAGUAUGGAAGAGGUAAGUGGAAUUGCGAGUGUAGAGGUGAAAAUUCGUAGAUAUUCGCAGGAACACCAGUGGCGAAGGCGGCUUACUGGUCCAUUACUGACGCUGAGGUGCGAAAGCGUGGGGAGCAAACAGG